UGGGGAAUUUUGGACAAUGGGCGCAAGCCUGAUCCAGCCAUGCCGCGUGCGGGAAGAAGGCCUUCGGGUUGUAAACCGCUUUUGUCAGGGAAGAAAUCUUCUGAGUUAAUACCUCGGGAGGAUGACGGUACCUGAAGAAUAAGCACCGGCUAACUACGUGCCAGCAGCCGCGGUAAUACGUAGGGUGCAAGCGUUAAUCGGAAUUACUGGGCGUAAAGCGUGCGCAGGCGGUUUUGUAAGACAGAGGUGAAAUCCCCGGGCUCAACCUGGGAACUGCCUUUGUGACUGCAAGGCUUGAGUGCGGCAGAGGGGGAUGGAAUUCCGCGUGUAGCAGUGAAAUGCGUAGAUAUGCGGAGGAACACCGAUGGCGAAGGCAAUCCCCUGGGCCUGCACUGACGCUCAUGCACGAAAGCGUGGGGAGCAAACAGGAUUAGAUAGCCCUGGUGGCUCCACGCCCUAAACCGAUGUCAACUGGUUGUUGGGAAGGUUCCUUCUCAGUAACGUAGCUAACGCGUGAAGUUGA
rnacentral:rRNA from 1 species